AACGAACGCUGGCGGCAGGCCUAACACAUGCAAGUCGAACGCCCCGCAAGGGGAGUGGCAGACGGGUGAGUAACGCGUGGGAACCUACCUUUCGGUGCGGAAUAACUUCGGGAAACCAAAGCUAAUACCGCAUACGCCCUACGGGGGAAAGAUUUAUCGCCGAUAGAUGGGCCCGCGUCGGAUUAGCUAGUUGGUGAGGCAAUGGCUCACCAAGGCUACGAUCCGUAGCUGGUCUGAGAGGAUGAUCAGCCACACUGGGCCAUAGACACGGCCCAGACUCCGACGGGAGGCAGCAGUGGAGAAUAUUGGACAAUGGGCGCAAGCCUGAUCCAGCCAUGCCGCGUGAGUGAAGAAGGCCUUAGGGUUGUAAAGCUCUUUUAGUGGGGACGAUAAUGACGGUACCCACAGAAUAAGCCCCGGCUAACUUCGUGCCAGCCGCCGCGGUAA
rnacentral:rRNA from 1 species